AUUUUGAAUCUGCUUCGUGCAUAUGCGGUGUGAACCCUCCAACAAGGUCAAUAUGUGUGCCAGGGUUAAUCCAUGAACCUACAAUUAUUGGCUUUUUGCUCAAUGUAGCUGAGGAUAUUAUGUCACUGCAUUUAACAGCAUUCUCUAAGUUUUGUAUAGGAACAGCAUCUAUCUGAAUAGACGGGAGUUCUUUUGAGGCUCGGCUUGCCAAAGAUUUUGCUGAUUCAAAGCGAUGGUUCCAAAUUCGUACACUGCGGAUUGGUCUUACAGAACAAUGUGCGUGAAUUAGCUUCUCUGCUACCUUGCCUGAUCCUAUUAUAAGAAGUGAAGUUGAAUCUUCCUUGGAUAAGUAAGAAGAAGCUAGUGCAGAGGCAGCAGCUGUUCGUCGUGAAGUAAGUUCAUUUCCAUCAAGCUGAGCAAGAUGGCAACCUGUUGUAGCAUCACUCAAUAGAUAGUGACUGGAAAGGCUCGGAAGACCGUGUUUGGUAUUUUCAGGGAAUACGUUUACUUGUUUUACACCGAGAAAUUUUCCCGGAAUCCAACAAGGCAUAAUCAAAAGGAUGUUGUUCGCAGUACUGCUAGGAUUAUCUUCAUCAAUUGGGUAAUGUAAUCUCGUCGGACAGACGACAUUCUCAGUAAAUAUUUCUCGUAAGGCAUUUAUAAGAGGAAUCCAACCCAACGAUGAGCUAAGUGUUUCUCUCGAAAGAAAUUGACAGGAACCCGACAUAAUUAUUUAUUUUUUUUUUCAAUUUAUCUUCUAAAUAAAAACGUUGGGUAAAGUUAUACAACUUGAUCUUUAUAAAUUCCAAAAAGAAAUAUGUUAGCAAAAGAACACUUUUUUAAGCAAAACUAUUAACGAUCACCAGUAUUAAAUACUGAGAACUAAUUUUCAACUUUUGUGAGUUUAUGGAAAAUUGAUUAUAAUACGAAUGAUACCUUCUCUAAUCGAAGAUGAAAAGAAGUCAAUUGAUAAAU